UGGGGGAUAUUGCACAAUGGGCGAAAGCCUGAUGCAGCGACGCCGCGUGGGGGAUGAAGGCUUUCGGGUUGUAAACCUCUUUCGCUAUCGAACAAGGCCCGCUUAGGGUGGGUUGAGGGUAGGUGGAGAAGAAGCGCCGGCUAACUACGUGCCAGCAGCCGCGGUAAUACGUAGGGCGCGAGCGUUGUCCGGAAUUAUUGGGCGUAAAGGGCUUGUAGGCGGCUUGUUGCGCCUGCUGUGAAAACGCGGGGCUUAACUUCGCGCGUGCAGUGGGUACGGGCAGGAUUGAGUGUGGUAGGGGGGACUGGAAUUCCAGGUGUAGCGGUGGAAUGCGAAGAUAUCUGGAGGAACACCGAUGGCGAAGGCAGGUCACUGGGCCAUUACUGACGCUGAGGAGCGAAAGCAUGGGUAGCGAACAGG
rnacentral:rRNA from 1 species